CCACGGGUGGCAGCAGUGGGGAAUAUUGGACAAUGGGCGAAAGCCUGAUCCAGCCAUGCCGCGUGUGUGAAGAAGGCCUUCGGGUUGUAAAGCACUUUCAGUGGGGAAGAAAGCCUUGGGGCUAAUACCCUCGAGGAAGGACAUCACCCACAGAAGAAGCACCGGCUAACUCCGUGCCAGCAGCCGCGGUAAUACGGAGGGUGCGAGCGUUAAUCGGAAUUACUGGGCGUAAAGCGCGCGUAGGCGGUCUGAUAAGCCGGUUGUGAAAGCCCCGGGCUCAACCUGGGAACGGCAUCCGGAACUGUCAGGCUAGAGUGCAGGAGAGGAAGGUAGAAUUCCCGGUGUAGCAGUGAAAUGCGUAGAGAUCGGGAGGAAUACCAGUGGCGAAGGCGGCCUUCUGGACUGACACUGACGCUGAGGUGCGAAAGCGUGGGUAGCAAACAGGAUUAGAUACCCUAGUAGUC
rnacentral:rRNA from 1 species